rnacentral:rRNA from 1 species
UGCAGUCGAGCGGUAGCACAGAGAGUUUGCUCUCGGGUGACGAGUGGCGGACGGGUGAGUAAUGUCUGGGAAACUGCCUGAUGGAGGGGGAUAACUACUGGAAACGGUAGUUAAUACCGCAUAACGUCCCAAGACCAUGGAGGGGGACCUUCGGGCCUCUUGCCAUCAGAUGUGCCCGGAUGGGAUUAGCUAUUAGGUGGGGUAACGGCUCACCUAGGCGACGAUCCCUAUCUGGUCUGAAAGGAUGACCAGCCACACUGGAACUGAGACACGGUCCAGACUCCUACGGGAGGCAGCGGUGGGGAAUAUUGCACAAUGGGCGCGAGCCUGAUGCAGCCAUGCCGCGUGUAUGAAGAAGGCCUUCGGGUUGUAAAGUACUUUCAGCGGGGAGGAAGGUGUUGUGGUUAAUAACCGCAGCAAUUGACGUUACCCGCAGAAUAAGCACCGGCUAACUCCGUGCCAGCAGCCGCGGUAAUACGGAGGGUGCAAGCGUUAAUCGGAAUUACUGGGCGUAAAGCGCACGCAGGCGGUCUGUCAAGUCGGAUGUGAAAUCCCCGGGCUCAACCUGGGAACUGCAUUCGAAACUGGCAGGCUAGAGUCUUGUAGAGGGGGGAUAGAAUUCCAGGUGUAGCGGUGAAAUGCGUAUAGCAUCUGGAUGAAUACCGGUGGCGAAGGCGACUCGCCUGGUGCAUGGACUGACGCUCAGGUGCGAAAGCGUGGGGCAGCAAGCAGGA